rnacentral:lncRNA from 1 species
ACUGAAUUCGAAGAGACGAUUCCCAGUUCUGAUAUGGAGUGUGAAAAGGAGAGAAACGCUUGAAUUCCAUGUUAAUCUUUUAAAAUUGUGAUAAAAACACCCAGAAAGACAUUGGAAAGUGUGUAUACAUUGUUUGCUGCGCUGAAGAGAUGUUUAUGCUUUGACCAGGGGAUGUCAACUGAGAUAUCGAUUAUUCCAUGUAUAUAUUUGAUGUUGUUUUUUUAUACUAAACUUGAUCUUAAAAUGCCACUUUUAAUCUUUUUAUAUGGUUAUAAUACUUUCCCAAGUAAUUAGCAUUGUGAAUAUACAUGUACAUGUACAUUAUAUAUUUUUAAAGUUUAAAAAAAAAAGUCUUUUUAAAGUUAAGGCAUACAAUACAGUUACAGGG